rnacentral:rRNA from 1 species
AGUGAACGCUGGCGGUAGGCCUAACACAUGCAAGUCGAACGGCAGCACAGUAAGAGCUUGCUCUUACGGGUGGCGAGUGGCGGACGGGUGAGGAAUACAUCGGAAUCUACUUUUUCGUGGGGGUUAACGUAGGGAAACUUACGCUAAUACCGCAUACGACCUACGGGUGAAAGCAGGGGAUCUUCGGACCUUGCGCGAUUGAAUGAGCCGAUGUCGGAUUAGCUAGUUGGCGGGGUAAAGGCCCUCCAAGGCGACGAUCCGUAGCUGGUCUGAGAGGAUGAUCAGCCACACUGGAACUGAGACACGGUCCAGACUCCUACGGGAGGCAGCAGUGGGGAAUAUUGGACAAUGGGCGCAAGCCUGAUCCAGCCAUACCGCGUGGGUGAAGAAGGCCUUCGGGUUGUAAAGCCCUUUUGUUGGGAAAGAAAAGCAGCAGGUUAAUACCCCGCUGUUCUGACGGUACCCAAAGAAUAAGCACCGGCUAACUUCGUG